AGGAUGUUUGCUUGCAGCACAGCGGAACAGGAAGUGAAGAACGAGGAAGGCUGGUGUUGCCAUGAUGCUUUUCUCUGUCCACUUCUCUACCCCCAAGUCAUCAGACGGUGCCCCCAACACUCAAGGUGAAAUGGAGCUAUUUUGAGAAAAGGGGUGGCUCCUUACAGCUUGACAGCUGUUUGUGCAACUGUCACAUAAUGCCACAGGUGGGGGAGAUUUCUGAGAAAAGAGCCGUAAUUAACUUCUACAGUUCUGAAGGAUGGGAGGCCCAAGGCCACUGGACCACGUCUGACAGGAAGACGACCUCACCAGGCAGGAGCAGGAAGCAUUUAGGAGAAAAAAAUCUGCCCUCCCACCAACUGUGUGACUUCUUGUGAAGUCUCCAUGCACUUCAGUUUCACCUCCCUGAGACAUGGAUAACGGUGUUCUCUGAGAAACUUCGCAAACCAAAACACUGAAAAGCAAAACAAUGCUUCGAGAAACGACCUGCCCAGGACGACAAUGAAUAUUUUAAUCAUAGGAUUUGCAUAUGUUGUGAUAAAGAUGAAUUACUACCAACACCAGGGGUUAAGGAUGACUGAGAUCUAGACUUGAAAACAAAAUCUGCCAAAAAAUGUUGUGAUUUUAAGUUCAUUAGCUAAGUUUAAAAAGUGUCAGUUAACAAUGAUAUGGAGUACCCAGUUAUACUGCUGCAUCGUUUUAAUUUUUAAUUAUUAUUGUAUGUUAUGUGUAUGGGUGCUUUGCUUGCAUGCAUGCCUGUGCACCAUGUGCACACUUUGUCAGUGGAGUCCAGAGAGGGCAUCAGAUACCCUAGGACUGGAGUUGGCUGGGAGCCACCACAUGGGCACUGGGAACUGAACCCAGGUCCUCUGGGAAAGCGCCAAGUGCUCUAACUACUGAGCAGUCUCCAGCCCCAUUUUGAUGCAUCCUGAUGUGGUAAACAGGGCACCACAGUUUGGCACAACACAAGGGUAGAACUGAGUCCUCUAAGAACCAUUUCCAUGUUCUGGGUUUCGUUUCUUGAUAUUCUGAGGAUCAGAGGGCUAAUAGACUCUCACACACACAUUUCUUCUGCCAGUCUCUUGGUUCCAGAGUCUCGGUGAGGGAGCCUGAACUUAGCUGCUGGUCCGCCACCAUCUGUUUUCUAAUAACCCUCACUGGGCCGGAGAUGUCGUUCAGUGGUCCCUUAACCAUCAGUCUCCCAGGAACUGAAGUCCCCUGGCAAGCAGCCUCAGAGGAGAGAGGGAGAGAGACAGAGCGCACAGAGACAGAGGGUGUCUGAAGACCUGUGGCCUCAGCGGGGACCACAGGAGCCAUCAGAAGCUGGAAGAGUGGAGGAGGGAUCGUUUCUACAGCCUUCAGAGGGAGCACACCACCCUGCUCUCCUUAGCACUUAGCACUCCCAGAGCCAGGAGAGAGUACAGUUCAGGUUUUUUAAGCAGCUGGGCUGUUUUAAUCUGUUAGAGUGCUAAGAUCCGGAGGGGUGGGGGCGGAAAGCGAGCUGAAGAGAGGUCACACAGUGUGACUCUCCAAGUUGGUGUAGAGGACAUAGACACCCCCGGAUCUGCCGCCCCCACCACACGCCAAAGAGCAGUCCAUCCUCUGGGAAGCAGAAUGCAAGCUCUGUAGACAAAGGACCAUGUUGUUUGUUUCACAGUGUGCCUGAUGCAGUCAUCAGCCCUUGACCCUGGAGGUGAUAAAUGACUAAUGUUUGAGUGAAGGGUUAAAUAAGCAGAGGAGAGACAGCACGGGCCUCCCACGUGCUAAAUCACCAGCUGCUGUCCAGGACCCCGAGGUCUCUGACUCCUUGGGUGCUGAACCAGGACCACACUGAAACGCUGAUGGGAGCAGGGGUGCUUUCCAGGGAGGCCCGUGAUGUUGAGGCUUAGGAGCGCAAAAACACAAAGUCCACCCUGCAGAGGAGACCAACAGAAGGAGGAGCAGCGGCCUCACCUCUGUCCCCAGGGCUGGCUAACAGGAAGUGUCUGCCCACCUCCCCGUUGGCCAAUGCCACCAUCCGUGGUCCCUCCACCUGCAGCCACUAGUCUGCCAGCCACGUCAGCUGUUAGUCGGUAUCAACCACUCAAGGGUGGAAGAAGUUUCUUCCUCCUGGGCCCACUGAAGGAAGGGGAAGGACAGGUGCAGCCGCCUUUGAGAAAGGGCUUUCCCCUGCCUUGCCCACACACCACCACCUCCCAGCAGGGUGGCUGUGAGUUCCUCAGGGCAGAUGAUAAGGAUGGGUGAUCCGAUCAAUAAAGUGAGGCAUGAAAUACAAUAGAAGACUCAUUGCCCUUAAAGAGAGGGAGUUCUGACCCUGCCACUGAACCUUGAGAAUACUUUGCUAAGUGGGAGAAGCCAGCCCCACUAAGAGUGGAUCGGCUCAGUGCACCCACACAGGACACCUGGAGGGGUCUAACUCAGAGAAGGAAAGCAGUGGCUGCCAGGGACUAGGGAGAUUAAACUGCAGAGUUGUUUAAUGGGAUAGAGCUUCAGUUCUGUAGAUGGAUGAUGUUGGUGAGUGUACUCUCAGCCGUUAAGACAAUCAUCCUACGUUACGGGAUCUCGCUGCCAUUUUCAGGACAAUUGCCGGGCACCUGUAACCUCAGCACUGGGGAGGCGGAAGCUGGGAACUCAAGAUGACGAUAGAUGCGUUGGGGCUGGGUGGGGAGUUUCUCCUCAAUAAAUACCUAAAUAAACAGUCAACAAAUGGCUGAAACUCGCUUUCA